rnacentral:rRNA from 1 species
GGGGGACAGAGUGACAGGUGGUGCAUGGUUGUCGUCAGCUCGUGUCGUGAGAUGUUGGGUUAAGUCCCGCAACGAGCGCAACCCUUGAUCUUAGUUGCCAGCAUUUAGUUGGGCACUCUAAGGUGACUGCCGGUGACAAACCGGAGGAAGGUGGGGAUGACGUCAAAUCAUCAUGCCCCUUAUGACCUGGGCUACACACGUGCUACAAUGGAUGGUACAAAGGGCUGCAAGACCGCGAGGUCAAGCCAAUCCCAUAAAACCAUUCUCAGUUCGGAUUGUAGGCUGCAACUCGCCUACAUGAAGCUGGAAUCGCUAGUAAUCGCGGAUCAGCAUGCCGCGGUGAAUACGUUCCCGGGCCUUGUACACACC